GAUAAACGCUGGCGGCGUGCAUGAGACAUGCAAGUCGAACGGGCGGUCGGGGCUUGCUCCGGCCGCUAGUGGCGGACGGCUGAGUAACGCGUGGGUGACCUGCCCCGAAGUGGGGGAUAACGGCCCGAAAGGGUUGCUAAUACCGCCUGUGGCGACGUGUUCGGUCACGUCAUCAAAGCCGGGAGGCGCUUCGGGAGGGGCCGGCGUCCGAUUAGCUCGUUGGUGGGGUAACGGCUCACCAAGGCGACGAUCGGUAGGUGGUCUGAGAGGACGAUCACUCAGACUGGGACUGAGACACGGCCCAGACUCCUACGGGAGGCAGCAGUCGGGAAUUUUGGACAAUGGGCGAAAGCCUGAUCCAGCCAUGCCGCGUGUGUGAAGAAGGUCUUCGGAUUGUAAAGCACUUUAAGUUGGGAGGAAGGGUAUUCACCUAAUACGUGGGUACUUUGACGUUACCAACAGAAUAAGCACCGGCUAA
rnacentral:rRNA from 1 species